rnacentral:rRNA from 1 species
GAUUCCUACGGGGCGCAGCAGUGGGGAAUAUUGCACAAUGGGGGAAACCCUGAUGCAGCGACGCCGCGUGAAGGAAGAAGUAUUUCGGUAUGUAAACUUCUAUCAGCAGGGAAGAAAAUGACGGUACCUGACUAAGAAGCCCCGGCUAACUACGUGCCAGCAGCCGCGGUAAUACGUAGGGGGCAAGCGUUAUCUGGAUUUACUGGGUGUAAAGGGAGCGUAGACGGAGGAGCAAGUCUGAUGUGAAAAUCCGGGGCCCAACCCCGGAACUGCAUUGGAAACUGUUUAUCUAGAGUGUCGGAGAG